CCCCACCUUUCUCAGUGGAACAGCUGAGGCCUGAUCCUACUGCCCAGGUAAUCCAGCUAGUUCCCUGAAGUUUCUCCUGGCUUCUGACUUCCAAGAGGUUCCUGUGUUUGCUGUGCAAGGAGUUUUACACCAGCAGAAGACUGGCCUCAGAAAGUCCAUGGUCCCCAAAAAUUGUAAGCCAGUGGAAUCAUAAUAGAGGGAGGCUGAAUGGAUUCAGAAAGUUUUCCAUUAACUGCUCUUGGCCAUAAAAACCACUUAACACUCCUUCUUGAAUCUCAUCCAAAAUAGGCACUGCCAAAAUAAUGUGGACAAGGCAUGAGGUUUUUCAAUACAUCGCUUCUGAGGAGGACAGGCAGCCACAUAGGAAGCAUUUGAAUCCUGACAGUGCUUUCCAAACACCAGCUGCAAUAUGCAUCACAGUGGCUCCAGUGCAAUCAUAUGCAGAAGAAUGAAUUGAAAAUCAUUGUGCUGGUCUCAGUGGACAUGAGCAUAUCUACAAGGCAGCUGAUUGAACUCACAUUUUGGCAUUGUUGUACAUAACCAAAAGUAUAAAAUAAGACGCCUCAGAAAAUGUGGGUGUCUUUUCUCUAAGAAUGCCCAGAACCAAACAUUGGAAGAUAGCCAUGUACUUAUUUCGCAGUUGUCUCCAUAAGAUGUAUGGAUUGGCUGUAGCAGUUGAAUGAAAG